rnacentral:rRNA from 1 species
UGACCUGCGGAGGGAUCAUUACUGAGUUUACGCUCUAUAACCCUUUGUGAACAUACCUAUAACUGUUGCUUCGGCGGGUAGGGUCUCCGCGACCCUCCCGGCCUCCCGCCCCCGGGCGGGUCGGCGCCCGCCGGAGGAUAACCAAACUCUGAUUCAACGACGUUUCUUCUGAGUGGUACAAGCAAAUAAUCAAAACUUUUAACAACGGAUCUCUUGGUUCUGGCAUCGAUGAAGAACGCAGCGAAAUGCGAUAAGUAAUGUGAAUUGCAGAAUUCAGUGAAUCAUCGAAUCUUUGAACGCACAUUGCGCCCGCCAGCAUUCUGGCGGGCAUGCCUGUUCGAGCGUCAUUUCAACCCUCAAGCUCCGCUUGGUGUUGGGGCCCUACAGCUGAUGUAGGCCCUCAAAGGUAGUGGCGGACCCUCCUGGAGCCUCCUUUGCGUAGUAACUUUACGUCUCGCACUGGGAUCCGGAGGGACUCUUGCCGUAAAACCCCCCAAUUUCCAAAGGUGACCUCGGAUCAGGAGGAAACCGUA